UACGGGGGGGGUAAGCGUUGUUCGGAAUUACUGGGCGUAAAGGGCUCGUAGGCGGCCAACUAAGUCAUACGUGAAAUCCCUCAGCUUAACUGGGGAACUGCGUGUGAUACUGGAUGGCUUGGAUGUGGGAGAGGGAUGCGGAAUUCCAGGUGUAGCGGUGAAAUGCGUAGAUAUCUGGAGGAACACCGGUGGCGAAGGCGGCAUCCUGGACCAUUAUUGACGCUGAGGAGCGAAAGCCAGGAGAGCAAACGGG
rnacentral:rRNA from 1 species